UUUUAAAAAAUUCUUAAUUUAAUUUUUAUUUUUUAAUGAAUUUUAAAUAAAAUAUUUUUAAUAUUUUUAUGUUAAAGUAUUUAAUUAAAAAAAAUUUUUGUUUUAUAUAUAUUAUUAUUGAAAAAGAAUGAUUAAAUAUAUUUAAAUUUAUAUAUUAUAGAAAAAAAUUUAAUUUGUUGUAUCUUGGGUAUCAGAGUUUAUUAAUUAAAAUUUAUUUAUUUAUAUUUCUCGAAAUUUAUUUAUUUAUUUAUUAAUUAAUUUAAUGUAUAAAAAUUAAAAUUUAUUAAUUUAUAGAAGUUAAAAGUUAUUCGGUUUAAAUUAUAUCUAGUUUUUAUAGAAAAAAAUUAAAUUUUUUAGAUUAUUUAUUAAAUUAUUAUUUAUUAAAAUAAUUUAAAUAUAUUUUAGAAUAUUAUAAGGGAUAAGCUUUAUAAUAAAUUUUUAUAUUUAUUUUUUUAUCAAUAAAAUUUUUAUGAUUAAUAUUUUUUAAUUAUUAUAUUUUUUUAUAAAAUUUUUUAUGUAUAUAAAAUAUUUUAUUUAAAUUAAUUUAUUUAUAUAAAAAAAUAUAAAUUAUUUUAAAUUUGUUAUAAUGAUUUAAUGAGUAUAUAAAUUAUUUUUAAAUAAUAAAUUGAUUUUAAAUUUAAUAUUAAUGAAUUCGACAUAUUAUAUGUUCAACUGUUUAACAAAAACAUUUUUUUAAGAUAGUAAGUUUAAAGUAAAAUCUGCCCACUGAAAAAUUUUAAAGGGCUGCAGUAUUUUGACUGUGCAAAGGUAGCAUAAUAAUUAGUUUUUUAAUUGGAAACUUGUAUGAAUGAUUAAAUGAGGCAUAAAUUUUAUAUAUAUAUUAACUAUAGAAAUUUAUUUUUUAUUGAAAAAGAUAAAGUAUAUUUAAUAGACAAGAAGACCCUAUAGAUCUUUAUAUUUUUUUUAAUAUAUUAAAAAAAAUAUUAAAUUGGGGUGAUUAUAAAAUUAUUAAAACUUUUAUUUUAUUUACAUUAAUUUAUGAAUUUUAGAUCUUUAUUAAAAAUAUAUAAAUUAAGUUACCUUAGGGAUAACAGCAUAAUUUUAAUUUAAAGUUCUUAUUUAAAUUAAAGAUUGUGACCUCGAUGUUGGAUUAAGAUAAUAAUUGGGGGAAAAUUUUCAAUUUUAUAGUCUGUUCGACUAGUAAUUUCUUACAUGAUCUGAGUUCAAACCGGUGUAAACCAGGUUGGUUUCUAUCUUUAUAUAAUAAUUUAUUUUUAGUACGAAAGGAAUUAAUUUAAUAAUAUUUUUAUAAUUAUUGAAAAUUAUUAAG
rnacentral:rRNA from 1 species